UACGUAGGGGGCUAGCGUUGUCCGGAAUUAUUGGGCGUAAAGAGCUCGUAGGCGGUGUGUCGCGUCGGCCGUGAAAACCUGCAGCUUAACUGUGGGCUUGCGGUCGAUACGGGCAUCACUGGAGUUCGGCAGGGGAGACUGGAAUUCCUGGUGUAGCGGUGAAAUGCGCAGAUAUCAGGAGGAACACCGGUGGCGAAGGCGGUGGUCUGGGCCGGCACUGACGCUGAGGAGCGAAAGCGUGGGUAGCAAACAGG
rnacentral:rRNA from 1 species